ensembl:antisense Gm44850 predicted gene 44850
AUGCCAGCCUUUGAGCAGCUGCUCAACCCAGUCUUGGAAAUGAGAGAGCUCCCCAAAUGUAUUUUUUGGAACUUCCUGUGAAUGGCUCUCUGACUCCCUGAAUGGCUGCUCUCCACCCUACACUCUUUCAGAGAUAAAACUCACCAGGGAAACUGCAGGAUAAGAGAGAAAUGCACCAAAAAAACUUCUGGUGGUGUUCUGGCAGCUUCUUGCCGCCUCCACGGACUUGGGCUGAUUGGCAGAGUGAUGUCAGCUGAUACAGAUUCACAUGGAGUUUUGCUAAAACAGACUCACUUGCUGAGGCAAGACACGUGGUGAAGCAAGACCCAUGGAGGACACAUGAUGUUUGGAGGGAGUAUUAAUGGGACUCAACGGACUGUGAGAGAGGCUUGCUUACAUAGCUAUCUUUGCAAAACUUCUUGGUCUCAUGUCUUCCCUGAUCUUUGGUUCAUUGAGAGAAGCACAGCCAAGAACUUAUCCUGAUGUUCUUGGUGAUCCUGGUUGCUCCUGCUGACUUGUGCCAAUUUGGCUGAGGCCUGGCUGUCUCUGCUAGGUCAUGCCACUACAGCUGAUUCGUGUUUGCUAUACUGACACUACUGAACUGGAAUGCUGGUAUAUUCAUGAAGUAUUUGCAAGUGGUUCGAGCUGCCACUGCUGAAUCCUGUAAACUGAACUGCUGAUUUCCUGACAAUGCAGAUGGGAUUUGCUCCAAAGAACAAUUUCCAAACAAGUCCAAUUCCCCAUAUGCUAUUAAUCUUUCCUUUCCACUACCUCUGAUGGGUGGUGGGCUAGAAGGAAGGUUAAAGCAUUUAAGAACCCAUAUUAAAAGUAGGCUUUGAAAAAAACUAAGACAACAAUAUAAUAAUGGGCGAAGCAAUGCAAAAUUAAAGCCAAGUUACAGAAGGUCUGAAAAAGUAAUAUAAAGUUUAUGAGGAACGGGACUUAGUGAUAUAUUUACUGAUAAGAGUUUAUUAAUGUUCCCAAGGCUAUAACAAUCUAGUCAUGAUAGUAAAGAUUUAAAGUGUUUGUCUAAUCACUUAUAUCUUUGCUCAUUUUGUUAAGCCUUGCUAUCUGGGAAAACUGGGUCCCAGCAAUAGAGAUAGUAAUGAUUCAUUGCACACAGUUUCAUCCUAUGAAUGUCUCCUUAAGAAAUCAGUCUGGCCUGCUCUCCUGAAUUAUGAAGAGAAUGAACUUGCUUGAGAUGAAAAUAAUGUCAGAUGCUAACAUUCCAGGAAAUCUCACUUUAGAAAGGAGGAUUCCAAAAUAAAAGAAAAUGCUCAUUUGGGGGAGAAAUAAAUGCUAAGAAGGAAUAAAGUCACCUUUCAGUUUG